UUGAGGUAUAAAUAGGCACUCAUAUAUGUAAGAAAGACAUACCCAACCAGGACCGCUCACAAGUCACAGCAUCAAUGGCGCUCUCGUUAUGUGCUUUUGUCGUCGUAAUAUUGUUGUCCCAAGUGAUGCCUGCUGUUAAGGCUCAGAGCACCGACUGCAGUCCCAUGCUGCUUUACACCCAUGGAAAACCG
rnacentral:lncRNA from 1 species